rnacentral:rRNA from 1 species
AUUGAACGCUGGCGGCAUGCCUUACACAUGCAAGUCGAACGUGAAAGCGGGGCAACCCGCAAGUAGAGUGGCGGACGGGUGAGUAAUACAUCGGAACGUGUCCAGUAAUGGGGGAUAACCUAGCGAAAGUUAGGCUAAUACCGCAUACGAUCUACGGAUGAAAGCGGGGGAUGCGGCACUAAAGGCUUUUGGCGAAGGUGGCCAAAGGUGAGUCAAGAGCUUUUAGUGCUGCACCUCGCGUUAUUGGAGCGGCUGAUGUCUGAUUAGCUAGUUGGUGAGGUAAAGGCUUACCAAGGCGACGAUCAGUAGCUGGUCUGAGAGGACGG